rnacentral:lncRNA from 1 species
UGAUCUGGAUAGGUUGGACAGCCGGGCUGAAGCCAAUGGGAUGGGAUUCAACAAGACCAACUGCCGGGUCCUGCACUUUGGCCGCAAUAAGCCCAGGCAAUGCUACAGGCUUGGGGCAGAGUGGCUGGAAGACUGUGUAGAGGAAAUGGACCCGGGGGUGUUGAAGGCUGUGUAGAGGAAAUGGAGCUGGGGGUGUUGACUGACGCCAGACUGAACAUGAGCCAGCAGUGUGCCCAGGUGGCCAAGAAGGCCAAUGGCAUCCUGGCUUGUAUGAGAAACAGUGUGGCCAGCAGGAACAGGGAGGUAAUUGUCCCCCUGUACUCAGCAGUGGUGAGGCCGCACCUCGAGUGCUGUGUCCAGUUUUGGGCCCCUCACUGUAUGAAAGACAUGGAGGCCCUGCAGCGUGUCCAGAGGAGGGCAACACAGCUGGUGAGGGCUCUGGAGCACAGACCUUAUGAGGAGCGGCUGAAGGAGCUGGGGUUGGUCAGUCUGGAGAAGAGGAGGCUCAGGGGAGGCCUUAUUGCUCUCUGUAACUGCCUGAAGGGAGGCUGUAGUGAGCUGCGGGUCGGCCUCUUCUCUCGGGUGACAGUGAUAGGAUGAGAGGGAAUGGCUUCAAGCUGCGUCAGGG